AUGUUCUGUUUGUCAGCAUAUAUACUGAAGUUUGAAUGAGAUAGAGAAGAUUAGCAUGGUACCUGCAC
rnacentral:snRNA from 14 species